AACUGAAUAGGUGAUGACGUUCGCCAUUAACCGAGUAAAAUCUAAUGACGUCUACUUUAUC
rnacentral:ncRNA from 2 species